rnacentral:rRNA from 1 species
CCCUUAGACGUUCUGGGCCGCACGCGCGCUACACUGACCAGUGCAACAAGCAUCCGUCCUUGGCCGACAGGCCCGGGCAAUCUUUGAACGCUGGUCGUGAUGGGGAUAGACUUUUGCAAUUUUUGGUCUUCAACGAGGAAUUCCUAGUAAACGCAAGUCAUCAACUUGCAUUGAUUACGUCCCUGCCCUUUGUACACACCGCCCGUCGCACCUACCGAUUGAAUGGUCCGGUGAAGCCUCCGGAUUGGCGCGCACCUCGGUGCCGCCGAGAAGUUGGCUAAACCUUACCAUUUAGAGGAAGGUGAAGNCGUAACA